rnacentral:rRNA from 1 species
AAUAGAUACCCCGGUAGUCCACGCCGUAAACGGUGGGCGCUAGGUGUGGGGAACAUUCCACGUUCUCCGUGCCGCAGCUAACGCAUUAAGCGCCCCGCCUGGGGAGUACGGCCGCAAGGCUAAAACUCAAAGGAAUUGACGGGGGCCCGCACAAGCGGCGGAGCAUGCGGCUUAAUUCGAUGCAACGCGAAGAACCUUACCUAGGCUUGACAGUUGGGGAAAUCUGGCAGAGAUGUCAGGUCCGCAAGGGCCCCAAAACAGGUGGUGCAUGGCUGUCAUCAGCUCGUGUCGUGAGAUGUUGGGUUAAGUCCCGCAACGAGCGCAACCCUCGUCGUAUGUUGCCAGCGGAUAAUGCCGGGGACUCAUACGAGACUGCCGGGGUCAACUCGGAGGAAGGUGGGGAUGACGUCAAGUCAUCAUGCCCCUUAUAUCUAGGGCUGCAAACAUGCUACAAUGGCCGAUACAAAGGGCUGCUAUACCGCGAGGUGGAGCGAAUCCCAUAAAAGGUCGGUCCCAGUUCGGA